CCUACGGGGGGCAGCAGUGAGGAAUAUUGGUCAAUGGACGAGAGUCUGAACCAGCCAAGUAGCGUGAAGGAUGACUGCCCCAUGGGUUGUAAACUUCUUUUAUCAAGGAAUAAAGUGAGGCACGUGUGCCUUUUUGUAUGUACUUUAUGAAUAAGCAUCGGCUAACUCCGUGCCAGCAGCCGCGGUAAUACGGAGGAUCCGAGCGUUAUCCGGAUUUAUUGGGUUUAAAGGGUGCGUAGAUGGGUUGUUAAGUCAGUUGUGAAAGUUUGCGGCUCAACCGUAAAAUUGCAAUUGAUACUGGCAGUCUUGAGUACAGGUGAGGUAGGCGGAAUGCGUGGUGUAGCGGUGAAAUGCUUAGAUAUCACGAAGAACUCCGAUUGCGAAGGCAGCUUACUAAACUGCCACUGACAUUGAUGCUCGAAAGUGUGGGUAUCAAACAGGAUUAGAUACCCCAGUAGUC
rnacentral:rRNA from 1 species